rnacentral:rRNA from 1 species
AGAAUGAACGCUGGCGGCAUGCCUAACACAUGCAAGUCGAACGAAGGCUUCGGCCUUAGUGGCGCACGGGUGCGUAACGCGUGGGAAUCUACCCUUAGGUUCGGAAUAACAGUUGGAAACGACUGCUAAUACCGGAUGAUGACGUAAGUCCAAAGAUUUAUCGCCGAGGGAUGAGCCCGCGUAGGAUUAGCUAGUUGGUGUGGUAAAGGCGCACCAAGGCGACGAUCCUUAGCUGGUCUGAGAGGAUGAUCAGCCACACUGGGACUGAGACACGGCCCAGACUCCUACGGGAGGCAGCAGUGGGGAAUAUUGGACAAUGGGCGAAAGCCUGAUCCAGCAAUGCCGCGUGAGUGAUGAAGGCCUUAGGGUUGUAAAACUCUUUUACCCGGGAUGAUAAUGACAGUACCCGUAGAAGAAGCCCCGGCUAACUUCGUGCCAGCAGCCGC